UGGGGAAUCUUGCGCAAUGGGCGAAAGCCUGACGCAGCAACGCCGCGUGGGGGAUGAAGGCUCUCGGGUUGUAAACCCCUUUCAGCAGGGACGAAUCAAGACGGUACCUGCAGAAGAAGCCCCGGCUAACUACGUGCCAGCAGCCGCGGUAACACGUAGGGGGCAAGCGUUGUCCGGAUUUAUUGGGCGUAAAGAGCUCGUAGGUGGCUAAGUAAGUCGGAUGUUAAAUCCCCAGGCUCAACCUGGGACACCACCCGAUACUGCUUUGGCUAGAGUCCGGUAGGGGAGCAUGGAAUUCCUGGUGUAGCGGUGAAAUGCGCAGAUAUCAGGAGGAACACCAGCGGCGAAGGCGGUGCUCUGGGCCGGAACUGACACUGAGGAGCGAAAGCGUGGGUAGCAAACAG
rnacentral:rRNA from 1 species